AACGAACGCUGGCGGCAUGCCUAACACAUGCAAGUCGAACGAGAUCUUCGGGUCUAGUGGCGCACGGGUGCGUAACGCGUGGGAAUCUGCCCUUUGGUUCGGAAUAACAGUUGGAAACGACUGCUAAUACCGGAUGAUGACGAAAGUCCAAAGAUUUAUCGCCAGAGGAUGAGCCCGCGUAGGAUUAGCUAGUUGGUGUGGUAAAGGCGCACCAAGGCGACGAUCCUUAGCUGGUCUGAGAGGAUGAUCAGCCACACUGGGACUGAGACACGGCCCAGACUCCUACGGGAGGCAGCAGUGGGGAAUAUUGGACAAUGGGCGAAAGCCUGAUCCAGCAAUGCCGCGUGAGUGAUGAAGGCCUUAAGGUUGUAAAGCUCUUUUACCCGGGAUGGUAAUGACAGUACCGGGAGAAUAAGCUCCGGCUAACUCCGUGCCAGCCGCCGCGGUAA
rnacentral:rRNA from 1 species